CCGUCCGGCGCGCGCGCAUCCACGCGCGAUAUCACUGAAGCCGCGUGCGCACGUGCGUGUUACAGUGGGUUUUGUGCGAACUGUGAGUGUGUUUUGCUGGAACAUUUACGGUGCUUAUUGAAAAUAAAGCGGUCACAAUGCGGCUAAGGAGGGGAGUUACUAUAGGAUUCCUGCUCAUAUUACAUUUGAGCGGUACUCUAACCGAUCAAUCUUCGAACGAGAGCGGUGGCGCUUCAGGCAGCGCUGGCUCCGACUCCAGCAAUGCUGCAGAACCGAGCGCAGACCAGCUCGCCAUGGAGUCCGCUGAACGAGAUACUCCUAGUCAUGCUUAUAAUGGACCACCACCGCCAGCGCCACCUCCGCACAAUAGGAGACAGAACCCACCACAUCACCAAGGGCAUCAUCCUUUAGGUAUGCCUCGAAUUCCGAAUCAUCAUCCCAUCCACACGAAGCCAUUCGCUCUCGGGCCGCCAGUUAACCACCACAAAAACGACUUAGGACCUGGUUUCCGAGGACCGCCGCCUCCGCCUGCACCGCCAGCUGAUGCACAAACAUCAGCCAGCGAAAAAGUCUUCAGCGGGGCUGGAGACGUUUGGCCGGCGCCUGCUCCAGACAUGCCGAAAAUUGUCUCUCUUGAUGUAAAAUGUGAAAAGAAUGCUAUGAGAGUCUUCCUCAGUUUCGAUAAACCGUUCUUUGGUAUCGUGUUCUCUAAAGGUCACUACUCUAAUCAUCAAUGCGUCCACCUACCUCCAAAUCUUGGAAGAGCUUCAGCUUCAUUCGAAAUAGGCGCUCAUGCUUGCGGCACGGCUGGCAGCGGAGAUCCUAGAUACAGAGGAGACGUAGCGGCCGCUGGAACGUACUUUGAAAAUGUAAUUGUAAUCCAAUAUGAUCCUCAGGUGCAAGAAGUUUGGGAUCAGGCUCGUAAAUUGCGUUGCACAUGGCACGAUCAAUAUGAGAAAGGCUGUAACGUUCAGACCUUUCCCCGUUGACAUGCUUGAUGUUGUCAGGGCAGACUUCGCUGGAGAUAACGUUGGAUGCUGGAUGCAAAUUCAAGUCGGUAAAGGACCAUGGGCUUCCGAAGUAUCAGGUCUUGUAAAGAUUGGACAGACUAUGACAAUGGUUUUGGCUAUCAAAGAUGAUGAUGCGAAGUUCGAUAUGCUGGUCCGAGACUGUGUAGCUCACGAUGGUCAACGCGCCCCUAUCCAAUUAGUCGAUAGGCGAGGCUGUGUGACGAGACCGAAGUUGAUGUCAAGAUUCACCAAGAUCAAGAACUUCGGAGCUAGCGCUAGUGUUCUGUCAUAUGCUCACUUCCAAGCAUUUAAAUUCCCUGAUUCAAUGGAGGUACACUUCCAGUGCACGAUUCAGAUUUGCAGAUACCGAUGCCCAGAACAAUGUUCAGAUGGCGGCCCGAAUGUGAUUGCCCCUCAUGCUGAAUACGGACCUCCUCAAAUUGAUGCAUACACUGUUGGCAUUGAGGCAAGACGAGACGAGCGACGAGUAAGGAGGCAGCGACGUGCCACAUCUCCUGAAAAAGAAGUUGGCGUAAACCGCGUAAUUCGUGUUGUAUCUGCCGGAGACUUAAACUUAGACACAUCAGAGGAACCAUCAGCGCCGAAAAUAGUUCCAACUCCAGGCCUUGUUUGCAUGACAACGCCUGGCUUUGCUGCAACACUAGGCGCUCUGCUUGCCACAUUAUUAUGUUCUUGUGCAGUAUCAGCUAUACUAUUCUUGAAGUUAAGACCUAUAACUACGUUGAAAAAGAAGACAGCCGCCGUGACGACGAUAGCUCGACCCCACCCACCGCCAACAGCGCACAUAAUUUCAAAAAGCCGUUUCUACUCGUAACAGAGUGUUUAAGUAAUUUAAUUUGUACAUAUUAGUGUGAUGAGACUGACGUUAGACCAUGCCAAUUAUAUUACUUGCGCGUUGUUUGAGUGCUCAAUGUUAGUUACAAAUUCUAUAUUAAUAUAGUAUUAAUUGAAUUAUUGAUUAACAUAACAGUUGCAGUUGGACAUAAAUUAACAUUGUUGGAGAUUUGUUCAACAUUCAAGUUGAUUUGUUGAAUCUAGAUGUACGAUUUCGUGAACGUGCAGAUCAGAUUACGAUUAAAUUUAGUAUUAAAAUAUUAGUACAAUCUUCUGUUACCUCUUUUCGAAUGUAUUUUGAAGUAGGGGCAACGGAAAAUAACACAAUACGUGGUGUAUCAACAUUUAGGUGAACCGCUAGAUGUUUAAUUUAAAAUAACUUGUCAUUAGUAUUAAAAUAAUAUUUAUUUUUAGUUAAGUUCUUAUUGUAGUCAUGACUAAGUAUUUAUUUAUUGUAUACCACCUGAGUACCUCCUCUUCUUUGUUCAUUAUUUUUAUUACAGUGAAGUUUAUUAAUUGUUACAAAUGCUGAUUGUUUUUACCCGUUUUUUGUUUUAACAUUGCGCAAAC